rnacentral:rRNA from 1 species
GCCGCGUGUGUGAAGAAGGCCUUCGGGUUGUAAAGCACUUUCAGUUGUGAGGAAAGGUGAGUAGUUAAUACCUGCUUGCUGUGACGUUAACAACAGAAGAAGCACCGGCUAACUCCGUGCCAGCAGCCGCGGUAAUACGGAGGGUGCAAGCGUUAAUCGGAAUUACUGGGCGUAAAGCGCACGCAGGCGGUCUGUUAAGCUAGAUGUGAAAGCCCCGCGCUCAACGUGGGAUGGUCAUUUAGAACUGGCAGACUAGAGUUUUGGAGAGGAGAGUGGAAUUCCAGGUGUAGCGGUGAAAUGCGUAGAUAUCUGGAGGAACAUCAGUGGCGAAGGCGACUCUCUGGUCAAUAACUGACGCUCAUGUGCGAAAGUGUGGGUAGCGAACGGGAUUAGAUACCCCGGUAGUCCACACCGUAAACGCUGUCUACUAACUGUUUGUGGAUUUA